rnacentral:rRNA from 1 species
CCUACGGGAGGCUGCAGUGGGGAAUAUUGCACAAUGGGGGAAACCCUGAUCCAGCGACGCCGCGUGAGUGAAGAAGUAUUUCGGUAUGUAAAGCUCUAUUAGCAGGGAAGAAAAUGACGGUCCCUGAGUAGUAAGCCCCGUCUAACUACGUUCCAGCAGCCGCGGGAAUACGUAGGGGGCAAGCGUUAGCCGGAUUUGCUGGGUGUAAAGGGGGCGUAGACGGCAGUGCAAGUCGUGAGUGAAAGGCGUGGGGUUAAACCCCGGACUGCUCUGGAAACUGUACGGCUUGAGUGCAGGAGAGGUAAGUGGAAUUCCUAGUGUAGCGGUGAAAUGCGUAGAUAUUAGGAGGAACACCAGUGGCGAAGGCGGCUUACUGGCCUGUAACUGACGCUGAGGCUCGAAAGCGUGGGGAGCAAACAGGAUUAGAUACCCCUGUAGUC